rnacentral:misc_RNA from 1 species
CACAAGAACAAGCUCUGGAUUGGAGCUUGUGCUUGUCAAUUUUCUUGAACCUUCUGAUCAGGUUCAGGCCGUAUUUGCUAUAGAUUCACGGGUCCUUUUAACUGUUAAUGGCUAACUAGAGUUAGUAUGUAUUGAUAUUUUAGUGGGUUGCUGUGUGAAAUUGUCACUGUAAUUCCAUUGUACCGGUUUUUGAGUCUUUUUAAUUUUUGUAGGUGAUGGGGG